GGUGUCUGUCACCGCACGUCGGAUCCUUAUCGCUUGGAUCGCUGAAAAAAAAAACACUUAUCGCUUGGAUCGCUCCCCCCGCCCCUCCCCUCCCCUGGACAGCAAUGGCGACGGUGGAUGCCGGAGGCGGCGGCUUCGAGUUUUCGUUAGAUCCCGUUGACAGGUUUCCCUUGCCGGAUCUUGGCGGCAGUGAGGCUGUACUUGACGCUGCAACCACCCAAACGCUCGUCUGCACAGGCCCCCAGUCGAGCGUUGCUGAUAUAGGCGACGCGACGAUGACGUUACAGCUAGAUUUGAAUAGCAGCUACGAAGGCCUCAGCUUGUCGGCGCCAACCUCAGAGCAGUCAGGCAGCAAAGACGACCCCCAAUCCCUUGGCUGGACAAUGAGAAUUGGGUUUGAAGAAAAUUGAGCUACUGAAACCACUGCAUGUCCUCUGGGUUUGGGAAUGUCAAGCAAACGUUCAGAUGGAGCUCCAAGUAUGGCACACACAGACCCAAUAUGGGAUUUAAGUCCAGCAUCGGGUCAAGCUGGUGGCGCGUCUCGAAUUGACUUGUUGGCAGCUGGUAACACCGCUUGACUUUGGAGAUAGUACCCUGCCGAGUGAGACAACAAACUGAAGUUGUAAAGCUUGAGCUCAAAUUAACUUUCGCAUCUCUGGAAAAUUUGGAUGAACGUGCAGUUGCAACAGGCACCAGUGUUCCUCGGAGAGGAACAUGUGCAGCGACUGGCGGUGCAGACAUGCUUGCAUGAGGUACCAGCCAUGCGCCUCCUCCAACUCAAAGCAAUGUUCAUCUUGAGAUCAUUUGCAUGUCUGCCACUGCAAACAAGACGACUUGCUAACAUAGAAACACAUUUCCUUGUAUUACAACUGGACCUAGCAACUGGCAAAUGAUGGGUGCUGCAGUAGAUGGUUCAUCAUCCAAAGUAGAACCAGAGGCUGUGACCGUAAGGUUUGCAAGGAUACUGAUAAAUGAGCCUGCUCCAUCUGAUGUAUACACCUUCUACGGAAAUGGUUUUCAUAUUCUCGUCCCUACAAGCUGGAGACCAACGGGCAAGCCGUCAAGAAGAACUUUGGUCCAGGACAAGGCCUUAGGGGCAAUGGCAUGGAAGCACUAGUCCGACUUCUUGACAUGAAGGACGACAAGCUGUACCCAGGUGGAGCUGCACGCUGGAGGAGAAUCUUGGACCCAAGUUUUGCGGAUGAGGUCUUGUAUGACAGCAGGAGCCCUCAAUGGCACAGGAUCAGCUGGAUGUUCAGUAAGAAGAAUCUGAAAUUCAACCUGGAAGAAUGCAAGAAUGUAGGUCAACAAGUGCAAAUGACAGUGUCUCCUUAUUUCUACCAUGCAUUUUGCAACUCAAUAAAAUGGGUAUUAAUUCUCUCAAAAUUUCUUGCCAAUUUUUUUGAGUCAUCAGUUCAUGGUUUAUACUAAUUGUCGACUAAGGGUGGUGCUUAUAUGAGAUUAACAACAAUGCAAAAACACUAUGAAUGAUGGACCCUAUGUUGGCGUACUCGAUCGAGCGGAAGCUCGACGAAACCAACUGCCGUAUUCUGCACUGCAUGUGUCAGUGUCUUCGUGAAUGGUAUCCAGAAUGGCAUUUUGCCACUUAUCCCUGGAAUUAUAAGUACAACACUGGUAUGCAUCAGAACUGCAGCAUUUCUGACAGCAAUUUCCAUGUACUCCACUACAUCAAAGAAUUUGAUGGUGUGAUGCUGAGGAAAAUCCCAACUUGGCAAACCUUUCCAUUAGGAUGGAAUUGGUAUACAAGCAUACAAUUAGUAAUAGACUUGCUGCCUUCAGGGUUUGAUUGCAUACAUAAGGAUGCAGAUGGCAUACGAAAUUCUCACCUUAAAAGGAAACGAGGGAGACUUCCCAAACUACAUGUAUGGUGGCAUCCUGGAGUAGAUUUCAGUUUGCAAUGAAUAAAAAAAGCACCAAUCAGCUAGUGGAAGGAGUGCAUGAGUCGCUCAAGUUGUCAGGGGGUAUCUUUUCUGGUUAUUGAAGCCAUGAAGGUGUCGGUGAGGGUCACCGCUGCGUGUAGCACCCCUAUAUGUUUAAUUAUCUAAUGAAUUUGCAUGGCGAGACUGUUAGCCUAAAUGUGUGCUGGACCUGCAUCUGAUUGUGAACUAAUGUGUGUCAGACCAUGAUGCUGUAAUAUGAGACCUAUGCCUGCUUUUA